rnacentral:rRNA from 1 species
AUGCUUGUUAUGCCUAAUAUACUUAGUUUAACCUGUAUCUAUUUUAAUUCUAUUCUUUAUCCUACUAGUUUUUUCUUUGCCAAAUUACCCCCGCCGCCACCGUCCGAGUCCCGGCCGGGCACGCCUCCCGGGCCCCUUCUCCACGCCUCCCGAGGCCACCCCUCCCCCUAUAAAGCUGUCGCCCGGUCCCCCCUCUCUCUCCCGCAUCUCACCGCAUCUGAGCCGCCGCCGCCGCCUCGAAAGCCGCCGCCGCCACCGCCCGCCUUGCUCUCGGCCGCCGCCGACCCCCCCUCCAGACGCGCCUUACCGAGCCGCCCCUCCCCGUCUACUCCGCCGCCGCCGCAGACCACCGGAGUUGCCUCCCCGCUCAAAGCCGAGCCGCCGGCGCAGCAUCGCUCCGCCUUGCCGCUGCACUUUGCCGGAGUCCGUCGCUAA